AAUCAACGCUGGCGGCGUGCCUCAGACAUGCAAGUCGAACGAUUAAAGCCCUCUUCGGAGGGUGCAUAAAGUGGCGCACGGGUGAGUAACACGUAAGUAAUCUACCUUCGAGUGGGGAAUAACAACCGGAAACGGUUGCUAAUACCGCAUAAUGCAGCGGCAUCUAUGAUGACAGUUGUUAAAGAUUUAUCGCUUGAAGAGGAGCUUGCGGCAGAUUAGCUAGUUGGUAAGGUAACGGCUUACCAAGGCGACGAUCUGUAUCCGGUCUAAGAGGACGGUCGGACACACUGACACUGAAUAACGGGUCAGACUCCUACGGGAGGCAGCAGUCGGGAAUAUUGGACAAUGGGCGGAAGCCUGAUCCAGCCAUGCCGCGUGUGUGAAGAAGGCCUUUUGGUUGUAAAGCACUUUAAGCGAGGAGGAGGCUACCUGGAUUAAUACUCUAGGAUAGUGGACGUUACUCGCAGAAUAAGCACCGGCUAACUC
rnacentral:rRNA from 1 species